UACGUAGGGUCCAAGCGUUGUCCGGAUUUAUUGGGCGUAAAGAGCUCGUAGGCGGUUCCGUAAGUCGGAUGUGAAAACUCGGGGCUCAACCCCGAGACGCCAUCCGAUACUGCGGUGACUUGAGUCUGGUAGGGGAACACGGAAUUCCUGGUGUAGCGGUGAAAUGCGCAGAUAUUAGGAGGAACACCGGUGGCGAAGGCGCCACUCUGGGCCGAAACUGACGCUGAGGAGCGAAAGCGUGGGUAGCAAACAGG
rnacentral:rRNA from 1 species